AGUUUUUUUCUUGGUAGCAAGCUGUAGAUUUUGUUUCAAGGAAAGCAUCUUCAUCUUCUCUAGUUUCAUCAUGUAUAGAUGGAGAUUCCGAUGCAGAAAAUAUUUACACCAGCAGCUCCAGUUCAUACCAAUAAAGAAGAUCCUGCUACCCAAACUAAUUUGGGAUUUAUCCAUGCAUUUGUCGCUGCCAUAUCAGUUAUUAUUGUAUCUGAAUUGGGUGAUAAGACAUUUUUUAUAGCAGCCAUCAUGGCAAUGCGCUAUAACCGCCUGACCGUGCUGGCUGGUGCAAUGCUUGCCUUGGGACUAAUGACAUGCUUGUCAGGUGAGUGUGCUUUUCCCUCUCAUGAGUUCGCUGAAUUAAAGGGAAAGCGUGUUGUGUGACAUGGAGUCACUGAGUCAUUAACCUAGUCUUAUGGGAAUUUGGCUUACACCAUAUUUGUGGUCUUCCAACCUUUUCCUUGUGUAUCCUUUCCUUGUGUAUCCUCUAAAAUAAUUUUGUACCCCCUCUCGCAUAGUUGUCUGAAAUUUUUCAUCUUCAAUUUAAGGAAUUGCAAAGAUCUAAUUUCUGUUAUAUUGUGUAAAGUAAGACAGUUAGGGCUGGGCACAGUCACUCAUGCCUGUAAUCCCAGCACUUUGGGA
rnacentral:sRNA from 1 species